GGAGGAAAGCAGGGGAUCGCAAGACCUCUCACUAUUGGAGCGGCCGAAGCCUGAUUAGCUAGUUGGUGGGGUAAAAGCCCACCAAGGCGACGAUCAGUAGCUGGUUUGAGAGAACGACCAGCCACACUGGGACUGAGACACGGCCCAGACUCCUACGGGAGGCAGCAGUGGGGAAUUUUGGACAAUGGGGGCAACCCUGAUCCAGCCAUGCCGCGUGCGGGAAGAAGGCCUUCGGGUUGUAAACCGCUUUUGUUCGGGAAGAAAUCGACUCCGUUAAUACCGGGGUCGGAUGACGGUACCGGAAGAAUAAGCACCGGCUAACUACGUGCCAGCAGCCGCGGUAAUACGUAGGGUGCAAGCGUUAAUCGGAAUUACUGGGCGUAAAGCGUGCGCAGGCGGUUUCGCAAGUCAGAUGUGAAAGCCCCGGGCUUAACCUGGGAACUGCGUUUGAAACUACAAAGCUAG
rnacentral:rRNA from 1 species